GGUCUUUGCAUAGCCAUAUCCUAAUAAAAGAUGGAUUGCCUGACUUGUAUAUUGAUGCCCCCAAGAUAUUGAAUCAGAAAAACUUCCAGUUCACUCAGUGGUGCCCCUCUGGAGUACUUAUGGAAAGACAUAAGGAAGAAUCACACAAGGCUAGAAUCAAAGGAUCUUAGAGUUGAAUGGACUUCUGAAAUAAGCACCACAUUUUGUGAAUCAUUUGUUUGGCUAGUAUCCAGAGAAGGGUGAAGAAGGUGAUGAAGGGUCUUGAGGUAAUGCAAAAAUGAAUUGAAGAAAGUGGAGUUGUUUAGCCUGGAGAAAUUACCUGUUGGGGUGGGGAAGAAUUAAGAGGGUUAGGAGGGGGGAAUAUGAAGAUUGUGUUCAGGUAUUUUCAAGCAGAAGAGAGAUAUUUCC
rnacentral:lncRNA from 1 species